AUGCUCCUGGAGCUUAUCCCACUGCUGGGGAUACAUUUUGUCCUGAGAACUGCCAGAGCCCAGUCAGUGACCCAGCCUGACAUCCACAUCACUGUCUCUGAAGGAGCCUCACUGGAGUUGAGAUGUAACUAUUCCUAUGGGGCAACACCUUAUCUCUUCUGGUAUGUCCAGUCCCCCGGCCAAGGCCUCCAGCUGCUCCUGAAGUACUUUUCAGGAGACACUCUGGUUCAAGGCAUUAAAGGCUUUGAGGCUGAAUUUAAGAGGAGUCAAUCUUCCUUCAAUCUGAGGAAACCCUCUGUGCAUUGGAGUGAUGCUGCUGAGUACUUCUGUGCUGUGGGUGC